rnacentral:rRNA from 1 species
GAUGAACGCUGGCGGCGUGCCUAACACAUGCAAGUCGAGCGGAGAUAAGGGGAGUACUUGUACAAACUUUAUCUUAGCGGCGGACGGGUGAGUAAUGCGUGAGGAACCUGCCUUUCACUGGGGAAUAACAUCGAGAAAUCGGUGCUAAUACCGCAUAACGUCGCGAGAUCGCAUGGUUUUGUGACCAAAGGAGCAAUCCGGUGAAAGAUGGACUCACGUCCGAUUAGGUAGUUGGUGAGGUAACGGCUCACCAAGCCUACGAUCGGUAGCCGAACUGAGAGGAUGAUCGGGCACAUUGGGACUGAGACACGGCACAGACUCCUACGGGAGGCAGCAGUGGGGAAUAUUGGGCAAUGGGCGAAAGCCUGACCCAGCAACGCCGCGUGAAGGAAGAAGGUCUUCGGAUUGUAAACUUCUUUGAUCAGGGACGAAAGAAAUGACGGUACCUGAAGAACAAGCCACGGCUAACUACGUGCCAGCAGCCGCAGUAACAC